AAAAAAAAAGUUUCUCAUCAGAUUCUCAAAGGGAACUGACUUCUUGCAUUGCAUGAUAAUUUGAUCUGGUGUAAAAGAAGAGGUGACUGCACCUGAUGCGAGUCUGAGGGAAGAGCAGAACUGGCCACAUUCACUGGAUGCCCUCUGGUGCUCUGAAUUAGAUGCUCUUACUCAGACACGUUUUGAUGACAGCACGUUCUCUGGAGGCUGGUAUGAUUGGCAUGGGAGCAUAGAGAGCAGUGGCCAGCAGGUAAGGGCAGUGGUUCUUAAUAGACUCUCUGUAACUUAAUGCUAAGACUCACCACCGAUGGAAGCCUGACUGGCAAUCAAGAUCAUAGGAUCAUGGAAUCAAAGAAUGGUUUGGGUUGGAAGGGACCUCAAAGAUAAUCAAGCUCCAACCUGCCAACCUCCAUAUCUAAUACUAGACCAGGCUGCCCAGCGCAGAUACUGAGAAGGUGGCUAUGCCCAAAGCAGAGUGCAGGUUCACCAGAGACGUGUCCCUGGUUCUGAGGGAAGGCACUACCAACUGGCCAGCUGGUCAGCGCUACACUGGUGCCUACAGCUUUCUGCUGGUCCCAGUCUGAACUACAGAGACCUUUCUGUGAUGCACAACAUCAGGC
ensembl:lncRNA